rnacentral:sRNA from 1 species
GCCGGGUGUGGUGGUGCAUGCCUGUAAUCCCAGCAGAUCAGGAGGCUGAGACAGGAAGAUUACGAGUUCAAAACCAGCCACAGCAAAAGCAAGGCACUAAGCAACUCAGUGAGACCUUGUCUCUA